rnacentral:rRNA from 1 species
UACGUAGGGUGCGAGCGUUAAUCGGAAUUACUGGGCGUAAAGCGUGCGCAGGCGGUUCGUUAUGUCCGAUGUGAAAGCCCCGAGCUCAACUUGGGAAUGGCAUUGGAAACUGGCGGCUGGAGUGUGGCAGAGGGGGGUGGAAUUCCACGUGUAGCAGUGAAAUGCGUAGAGAUGUGGAGGAACACCGAUGGCGAAGGCAGCCCCCUGGGCCAACACUGACGCUCAGGCACGAAAGCGUGGGGAGCAAACAGG